rnacentral:miRNA from 1 species
AUAUCUGAUUCUGACACGAAAAAA